GCAGCAUUAUUUACAUGUGACAGAAAGAGCAGCACCUGAUAGCAUGAUAUCCUUAAAGCAGUAUGACGCUCUCUCAUCUCAAAGAAGGCAAUAACAUUAGACCUGGUUAAUGACCCAAUCAAAAGUUAUGAUUAUGGAUUCUGUGACUGUGCCAACAAGCCAUCCACAAUCUGACCUCAAGAACUCAAAAUAUCUGAGCGCUCAGAGAAGCACACAGCAGCACAAAUGUGGUCCCUGAAGAUACAGUAUUAUUUCUCAGACUUCUCAUUGUUGAGCACCACAGCCUGUUCCUACAACUCUUCCCUGAUAGACAUCUAAAGCCAAAACAUCAUGUCAUGCUGCAUUAUACAGGUGUCACACGGAGACUAGUCCCUCUGGUGCACUGCUGGUCCAUGAGCUUUCAGGCCAAGCACGGAUUUUUCAAAAGGCUUUCCCACAUGACGUGCAACUUCAGAAAUGUUUUUAAAUACUGGCCUUGAGGCAUGAAAUGUUGCUGUGUUACGAUCUUUAUCGGAAAACAUAUUUACACUGCUUACUCUACUCCACUGGCUUCCAUUGAGAGGUUUGAUCUGCACAGAUUUGAGAAUACUCCGUUGAAUGAAUUCUACACAACCUCCUGGGUGAAGUGGAAAGGGACAGAAUAUGGUCCAGGAAUGACCCUCCUUGUUUCUCAUACUCCACAUGGUGAACUUCAGUUUGGAACAAUUCAGAAGAUUGUGGAUUUUGAGUCUGUGAUCAAGUUCAUUGUUUUGAAAUGGAACACAGUAGGAUUAGAAAGACACGAUUUUGCAUGUUGUGUCAUUCCUUUUACUCUCAUUGACUGCGGUGAUGUUGACUAAAUAGUCCCUGUAAUAUACAGCUGACUGUAUCACAGAGGAUCUGCACAUCUUUACCAUCACUAAUUUAUUAUAUUUUAGAUGUUUUGUGAACUGUGUGAAUGACAGAAGAAAUCCCGUGUCUACGUGUCUAAAGCUGUUGUGUGCUUCAGUAUUCACACAGGAUUUGAUCUUAUAUUUUUGAUGAAAGACGGGCUGUACAUCACGACUCAUUUCACUUGUGACAAUCUUUGCAGGUCGGUCAUUUGUGUCCUGUGAAGUACAUUAAAAUUCUCUGUGGUUUUAUUGACACAUUUUUCAGCUCCAUUACAUUGAACACUUCAACAAAACAGAAGUCCCUUUGGGACAUUUUAAAGGGAUUAUUAAGUAACUUGAAGAAGACUCAAUGAUGUGUAAUUGUAUUUAGUAUGAAGUUUUGUGUUGAAACUGAUUAUACUGCUGCUCAUCUCAGCCAGAGAUGUUUAAUCUCAGAUAGGCUUUCCUGGUCAAAUAAACAAUCAUGACAGAUAAGAAGAACUGCGGUUCAAACCAA